AUUGAACGCUGGCGGCAGGCCUAACACAUGCAAGUCGAACGAGUGGCGGACGGGUGAGUAAUGUCUGGGAAACUGCCCGAUGGAGGGGGAUAACUACUGGAAACGGUAGCUACUACCGCAUACCAUCGGAUGUGCCCAGAUGGGAUUAGCUAGUAGGUGGGUUAACGGCUCACCUAGGCGACGAUCCCUAGCUGGUCUGAGAGGAUGACCAGCCACACUGGAACUGUGCCACGGUCCAGACUCCCACGGGAGGCAGCAGUGGUGAAGAUUGCACAAUGGACGCAAGCCUGAUGCAGCCAUGCCGCGUGUAUGAAGAAGGCCUUCGGGUUGUAAAGUACUUUCAGCGAGGAGGCGUUACUCGCAGAAGAAGCACCGGCUGACUCCGUGCCAGCAGCCGCGGUAAUAC
rnacentral:rRNA from 1 species